CCCCCUGUGAGAAUGCCCCUAAUUCCUUCAAGGAAGUAGGGAGCUGGUAUCAGGCACACUUAAAAGUAGCCCACAACACCUUGCUUAGCCACACCCUCAAGGGUACUCAGCAGUGAUAGACAUUAAGCAAUAAGUGCAAACUUGACUUAUUAAUAACUAAUAAGGCCGGUAAAAUUCGUGCCAGCAACCGCGGUUAUACGAAAGGCCUAAGUUGAUGAAACGCGGCGCAAAGAGUGGUUAGGAUACCAUUCAAUUAAAGCUACACCCCCUCCUGGCCGUUGUAAGCCUAUGAGACUCUGAGACACAACUACGAAAGUGGCUUUAUACUCCUGAUCCCACGAAAGCUAGGAAACAAACUGGGAUUAGAUACCCCACUAUGCCUAGUCGUAAACAAUGAUAUUAUAAACUUUUAAUAUCCGCCUGGGUAUUACGAACACAAGUUUAAAACCCAAAGGACCUGGCGGUGCUUAAUAUCCCCCUAGAGGAGCCUGUUCUAGAACCGAUAACCCCCGUUCAACCUCACCCCCUUUUGCAACCCCUGCCUAUAUACCGCCGUCGCCAGCUUACCCUGCUAAGGGCAAAUAGUAAGCAAAAUUGGUACAUCCCAAAACGUCAGGUCGAGGUGUAGUACAUGAGGGGGGAAGAGAUGGGCUACAUUGACUAAUUUAGUCUAUACGGAAAGCUAUAAUGAAACUUAUUCUUGAAGGUGGAUUUAGUAGUAAGUAAAAAACAGAGCGUUUUACUGAAUACGGCCCUUAAGCGCGCACACACCGCCCGUCACCCUCCCUUAAGCCGUUAUACUUAGGUCACUAACCCGCUUUCUCGCUGACAAAGAGAGGGAAGUCGUAACAUGGUAAGUGUACCGGAAGGUGUACUUGGAUU
rnacentral:ncRNA from 1 species